rnacentral:snRNA from 1 species
UUGCUGGCUUCAGCAGCACAUAAACUAAAAUGGAAACACUACAGAGAUUAACAUGGCCCCCCGGACAAGGAUGAUUUGUAAAUUUGUGAAGCACUUCAAAAACAUUUUU